rnacentral:rRNA from 1 species
AUUGAACGCUGGCGGAAUGCUUUACACAUGCAAGUCGAACGGCAGCACGGACUUCGGUCUGGUGGCGAGUGGCGAACGGGUGAGUAAUGUAUCGGAACGUGCCCAGUCGUGGGGGAUAACGUAGUGAAAAUUACGCUAAUACCGCAUACGAUCUAUGGAUGAAAGCGGGGGAUCGCAAGACCUCGCGCGAUUGGAGCGGACGAUAUCAGAUUAGGUAGUUGGUGGGGUAAAGGCACACCAAGCCAACGGUCUGUAGCGGGUCUGAGAGGACGAGCAGCCACACUGGAGCUGAGACACGGUCCAGACUCCUACUGGAGGCAGCGGUGGGGAAUCUUGGACAAUGGGCGAAAGCCUGAUCCAGCCAUUCCGCGUGCAGGAUGAAGGCGCUCGGGUUGUAAACUGCUUUUGUACAGAACGAAAAGGUUUCUACUAAUACUAGGAGCUCAUGACGGUACUGUAAGAAUAAGUACCGGCUAACUACGUGCCAGCCGCCGCGGUAA